ensembl:lincRNA 1700001G01Rik RIKEN cDNA 1700001G01 gene
AUGGGAGAGCUGGCCAUGAGGGCAUGAGAGGAGAAGAUCUGACCCCACCAACUGCAGUACUCAGGAGAGCAUUUUGCACGUGAGCCUGUCUCAGGAGUAGGAACAUGGGAAAUAUUGCCCAAUCACUCAAGUCCUGUGUGGUGAUGUGACUGUGUGGUGGCUUGGAAAAGGGAGAGAUACCCUCUUCCUCCAUUUCCGUCUCAACCCCUGUGGCAUAUAGGAGACCUGGCACUGAGGUAAUGAGACCAGGAAAGAUGGUCCUGCCUCUCACAAACUACAGCACUCAGGAAAGCAGCUGCAUCUAACCUCAGUACUACUGACCCUGGUGUCAGGGAUGCUGGCAAGACAGCUCUAAAGGUGGUGAAGUUGUCCUGACUGGAUCACAAGAGCAGGAGAAUUGUGUCUGCCCCUUCCUGAGGAGCACAAUCAAGAUGACUGUGGAUGAAGGGGUUUCAGUCAGCGUCAGCAUGGAGUCACCUUGGGCACAGAGUCAGUGGACAUGCCCACGGUCACUAGAGGACUCUCCACACGAUCUUAGGACCACUGGUUUGAAGCCAAGCUGGGAUUUUGAUCACUUCAACAUGCUGAUCAAAUGGUUUACUUUAACGAUGGAAAACAGACAGAAUCUGUAAGACGAUGCAGGCAAGCUUAUGUGAAAUUUUCAUUUCAAGCAACAGCUCAAAAAAUGGAGGAGCCAAGCUCUCUACAGAUUGUUCAGGCCACAUUUUCAGAGGUUGGAUUUACAGAAAUGCAUACUCAGAUAGAAGAUAGCAUUUGGGACAUUUAUUGAAGGACAAUAUCUGGAUAUAUACCCGGGGAAGAGCUAAGAUCAUGCUGAGGUAUGUGGCAUAUGACGGAGACCAUGUGGGUGUCUGAAAUCCAUACAGUCACCAGAAACCUUGUAGAAGUUCAUGAUCAUGUUCCUGCUGACUGUAAAGGGCAAAGAAGCUACUUUUGCUGUUAUUACUGACUACAGAAUCACAGUUGACAAAGAAGGACUUAGAAGAUCUCUGUGACAACCCUUAUUCUGAUCCCAAAUAAGUAAGAGCCUAGAGAAAAAGCUAUUGAAGGGGAAUCCUAAAAGUUGUGAUAAGGAUCCUAAAGUGUAGUUCUCCACAGCUGAUGGAUUCUGAAGAGGUGCAGAUUGUAAUGCAAAUAGGCAUUCCAAUGCAGCAUGUACUAAGAAAACACUAAAGACUGCUCAAAGAAACAAUUCCUGGUCUACAUUGUCACUUGAACAUUGAAAUGGAAAACUGAUUAGAACAUACUGCGUGUUAAAAACAUCAUGCAAAGGACACGAAAGGCAACAUUGUCAAGGCAUUUUGGAGGGUGCAUCAGCUCACUUCUUGAAAAAUAAGAGAAGAUGGAAUCCUGCUUUUCCUUUCAGGGUAAAAAAUAGUCUCCACGAAAGAAAAAAAAUCUCAAUGAAGAACUCCAGACAGAACGCUGGGCAGAAUGAUGUCCACUGGUUUGCCAUUAUGAUGAAUUUAAGUAUCCAGCCACCCAUCCCAUGAAAGCCAAAAAAAAAAAACAGGUGAAGAUAAAUAAACAGUUGUUCCAGUU